UGUAACUUCUCAGGAGCAGGUUAUUCUGUACAUUCUGAAAUGUGGGUUAAAUAUUGGGGAUUAGUGAAAGAUUACCGUUAUGUUUAAUGUAAAUGAACAAGGUUUAAGCGUGUAAAGCUUGGCUGAUAAAUGCUGUUUUUUUGUGUCUGUCUGUAGAGUGAUAAAGACUGGACUGGAACAAGGUGAGGGAAUCAAAAGAAGUGAAGGAGAAGAUGAAGGAACACCAGGAAAUGCUGAAGAGUAUGAAGGUGUCCUAUCUCAACAACCUGGACAUCAUCAUGGGGAGAGAGCGAGUCGUGGUGAGAAAUACAGAGUGGUGUUUACUGAGCUGUCGCUAUCGCUAUCUGAGAUAUAAAUAAUUACAGGCCAGAGUACGCCUAAUACAUCUUUAUUCAUCGUGUUUCAUGAAUAUUUCACAACACAAAGUGCUUAACGACGGACCAUGGAAAUAACCAUUUUGAUUAUUGCUUGUAUAUUUAUCAAAUUAAAUUUGAUAUUUUGUUUCUUAUUUUAUUGCUGUACAUCGGUGAGCACUUUAAGUUGUACAAUAUAAAUGUUUUUGUCUUUUUAAGUGUCAGGACCACUUUAAGCUUUUAAAAUCGACUAAUAGGCAGAAAAGUAAAUAAAUAAAAAUGUAAAAAAAAAACUAAAUCAAUCGUCACUGAUGCACAUGUAAGGUGUGUGAGCCUUUUUAUAUUUAAGAUAACAAAGUAAUGCUUCACAUGACCUAUAAAUUAUAUACAUUUACCAUAAAUACAAGAAAAAAAUUGGAAGAAAAAAUGGACGAUAACCUUUAAUGAUGCAGUUUAACUGCCUGUGAUGAUGAUGAUGAAGAUGAUGAUGAUGAUGAUGAUGAUGAGCACUGUAACUACUUUUAUUUGUCUGUGUUUCUCUACAGCCAAUCCCUUUUCCUGAGUGAAAGCCAUUAGUUCCUGUUUGAAACAUGCAGUAAGAUUAAAAUCAUCUGGGUUUGCAUCACAUGUGUGUAAUUUAUUUCCUGCGUCUCUGUAGAGUUUAGCUGAAGCCCUGAACCUGACUGUAAAAUCUCACUGAUGUCCCACACGGUUCAAGUAAAUAAUAAAAUCGUUAUUAAUCAGAGAAUCUUGUUUUUGUUAUCUGAUGUGUUUCAGUUCCAUUUAAAAAAUGAGCCGUUAAAAGGAGGCAUGCUAGAGUGUGUGUGUGUGUGUGUGUGUGUGUGUGUGUGUGUGUGUGUGUAUGUGUGUGUGUGUAACAUGUAAAUUUCUAUCUCUUAGUUACUCCCCAGUUCAAUUUCAGCUCAAUUUCAGAGUAUCUCUGCCCUAGGUAUGUAACAUUUUUCUUGGAAGAUUGCAGUCACAAAUAUCCAGAAUGAUUCACAUUAUUGUAUUAUGUCAGUGGCGCCCUCUGCUGUCACAUGUUAAUAUUCCACAUAAUUCACAUAAUUACAUGUGAAGAACUUACCAGUGUGAAGAUCUUAUUCGGAUAAUUGUUCACUGUAAAUCAUUCACAGUUGCCGAUAUGAGUAAUUUAACUCAAUCUUCCAUUGAGUUAAAUUACUCAGUGAUUAAAUUACAGACUUCAUACUUUCCACCAGGGAUAUUUAUUUUACAUCCCCAGAAACAAGGGAUAUUUAUUUUACAUUUCAGAUCAUCCUUCUAGAUCACCCAGAAUUGUGGACAGGAAAUUAGACCAUUUAGGAAAAUGUGUAGUUUUACGCUAUACUCUUCUUGAUGUCUCACUGGAAAGGCAAAAAUAACUAAUGUUAUUGACCAAUCAAACGAGUUUUUUUUUUUUUUUGCGAAUAAUGCUCACUGUAGAAGGAUUUUGUUCAUGUUUUUGAUUACAUGCAAUGAAAGAUUCCAUCCGUUUUCGGGGCUAGGAAUUAGUGCGUGUGUCUUUUCUGUCUUUUGAGAGCCUCUGAAGCAAGAUACUACUGUGAGGUUAUAACAGCUGUUACAGCUGUACCCAUCACACCCGUGCUUUCUUACUACCUUACAAGAGCUAAGUGUACACAACUACACAGAAACACAGUCCACAGUUGAAUGCGUUCAUUUACAGAAAUUAACAUUAUUAACUUUAAGGUGACCAAGUAGUCUGUAGUGUGUAUUCACAGAUUCUAAAUAUACAGGUUAAAGUCUGCACGUGUAAAUAAAUAAAUAAAUAAAUAAAGAUAAAAUGAUAAAGUGCAAUAUGGCAAGUUCGCUAAAUUCGUAAGUUCGCUGUACACAUGUUUACAUUUUAGAGUUAACUAAAGACAUUAAACAUCAGCACAGUCAAACCUAGUUUCAUUAUGACUAGAGGUGAACUCAGACUGAUGCAUAUAAACCCUACCACAGGCGGUCAUGUGACUAACAGUCGGUUAUUUUCCGGAUUUCUAGAAGAUCUUCAUUUAAUGUUUAACAUAGUACACUUUUCUGUGAUCCAGCCGUGGAGAUCUGAACCAAGCAGGACAACAUCCAGUUUUAUACUCUCUAAACCUUAUUCAGAGUGCAUGUGAACGGAUAGUGGAUCAGUGAUAGAUGGGUUCAUGAAGAUGAAGAACUGACAGCAUCAGUAUGGCUUCUUCAAAUCAUUCUGCAACAGAUUAUGUCAGAAACGCUCGUGAAAACCUGGUUGGACGGUUACUAAACCUGCCUCUUAUUGUUGAAAAACUUCAUCAACAGAAUGUCUUCAAUGCCAAUGAAGUUAGUGAAAUUGAGGCAGAACCAGAAAAGUACAACAAAACCAGGAAGAUACUGGACUGGGUCAUAAACAAGGGUGAGGAGGCCUGCUAUAAAUUUCUCAGAAUACUGGAUCAUGAGAGGAAAUCAGUCUUGCCAAAGCCGGAUUCGUCUGGCCUGACUCCUGAUUUACGUAAAUGGAUCUGCUUGUUCUCCUUUAGAGAUGAGCCUGAAGAUGAUUAUAUUGAAGGACCUGUCUCAUGUCAUCAGCUGCAAAAGAUUUUGAAGACAAAAACAAAACAAUUUCUAGGUGAACAGUGGAGGAAGAGCCAGCAG